rnacentral:rRNA from 1 species
UACGGGAGGCAGCAGUGGGGAAUAUUGCACAAUGGGCGAAAGCCUGAUGCAGCUAUGCCGCGUGUAUGAAGAAGGCCUUAGGGUUGUAAAGUACUUUCAUCGGGGAGGAAAAAACAAAACUAAUAAUUUUAUUUCUUGACGUUACCCGAAAAAGAAGCACCGGCUAACUCCGUGCCAGCAGCCGCGGUAAUACGGAGGGUGCUAGCGUUAAUCAGAAUUACUGGGCGUAAAGAGCACGUAGGUGGUUUUUUUAAGUCAGAUGUGAAAUCCCUGGGCUUAACCUAGGAACUGCAUUUUGAAACUGAAAUACUAGAGUAUCGUAGAGGGAGGUAGAAUUCUAGGUGUAGCGGUGAAAUGCGUAGAUAUCUGGAGGAAUACCUGUGGCGAAAGCGGCCUCCUAAACGAAUACUGACACUGAGGUGCGAAAGCGUGGGGAGCAAACGAGGGAUUAGGAUA